rnacentral:tRNA from 1 species
GGCGACGUGGCGGAGUGGUUACGCAGCGGCCUGCAAAGCCGUUUACCCGGGUUCGAGUCCCGGCGUCGCCU